UAUUGGUCUACCAGAGAGGGCACAUGUGCCUCAAUUGGCCUAUAGCAUAGUGGCUCAUUAUCCUUCAACCGCUGGUGGCGGGCGGUACUCGCUGCUCUGUGAAGCCAGCCUCACGCAAUGUCCGCCACUUUAGGUGUUGGGAUGCAAAGGCUUUCGCCAAGGCAUCCGAAACCCACUACACAACUUGGAAUGGGUGGUCCACAGUUUGUAGCACUAGACCCAGGCACAUGCACCACAAUUGACAUUCACACUACCUUAUUGCCCCCGCUCGGGUUACAAGCAAUCGCUACUUGCUCAGCGAGUGAGGGGGGUUCAAGACUACCUAUUUAAGGUGGUGUUGUACUGUAUGAGCCGGCGGUGUGGUAUUUACCAACUACAAAUAGUGUCAUGCAUGUGACUUGCUAGUUGACAAUGUCUGUUGUGGAGCUAGAUGUGGGCUAUGGAUGAAGCACAUUAGGAUAUAGUAGGCCUAUUUUGUUUUUUGUUAUUUUUGGGCCACUAUGGACUUUAUGUUGAUGUUGUGAAUUUUUUUCUUGUGUUUCCUCUUCCUACGAUGUGGAAAGUGGGUGCGUCAGAGAAGAAAGAAAGAGUGGCUAGCAUUGAUUUUACGUCAUACCAUUGAGAACACUAAUCAGAAGCAGAAGCAACAAUAUUUCAUACAUAUACAACACUUGUAAUCCAUAUAAACAACUUUCCUUUCAAAUAUAAUAUAAACCACAUGAUUUAUAUCCUGGGUCGGCUAUCUCCACAAAGGGCAAGAAAACGCUCCAAGUUUGUAGUAUAGAACUAAAAGUGUCGACUCUCACGAUUUCUUCCCGACAUAUGCAAACUAGACAGUAAUCACAUAAAAUAAAGAAAUAUGUGUUAACACAAACUUAUAACAUGUAUUUCAACAUAUAGAUUUUUGAUUAUUAUGGUAGAUUAUAUAAUAUAGGGGUUCCCGAAGAAAUACAUAAAAAACAAGAGCAUUAAAAUUUCCUUUUCAGAUCUGGCUAACUGGUAAAGGGAGUUGGAGUAUCUGUGUUUCCAAAUUUGGGACGUCGCUCUAUAGAAGGAAUAUAAAUACAUUGGAAAAAAAUUCUACAAGGAAAGGUUUAAUACAAGUAGGGCUAAGAAAAACUCAAUGAGGCUUUGGUCGCAUGGUCACAAAACUUGAGACAAGAAACACGAAGACACCAAGGUAAUUAGUAUGAGAGUUUUCCAAAUUUGGUGUCUUGAUGUAGAAAAAAUAAAUAUAUGACAAACUUGUUUUUUCGCAAGGCAUGGAUAAAUAAGUGGGGGUGAGCAAUAAAUUUCAUCCUAGAUUUAGAAGGAAUAAAUAUAUCACUAAAUACGUUUUUUCAUAAUGCCAAGUUAAUCAGGUGGGAGCGAGAAACAAUUCUAGCGAGGCUAGGUUGUACUAGCCCAAAACUACAUACAACAGAGGAAAAAUGAAGAAAAUGAUGGUCUACCAAAUAUGGCGCAUGAGCCUUAAGGUGCACCUAGAGGGAAGUAGAAGAAAUAAAUAUAUAAUAGCAUAUGUUUUUCUCAAUGCAAGGUAAAGUGUAGAUGUGCUCUAACUGGGCUUAGAUUGCAGCGACACAUUAUGCAUCUACAAGGCUUGGUUGCACAUGGAAAAAGAUAGAGAGAGAAAUGUAGACACAGGACGGGGAGAAAAACAUUCAAUGAGACAUGAUUGCACGGACAUAGAACUAGAUAUAAGACAAGAGUUAAAGAAAAAUAAAGGAACUAAAUUUUCUUCUGCACACUCAGCAUGAAUGGAGUUGUAGUAUCUGAGAUCAAAAUUUAAUUUAUUCCAAGAUGCAGAACAAAAACGUGAUACUCGUAAUGGUUACAUAGGAACAAAAGUAGAUAAGAAAAAUAGCAAAAAGAUAGUGGUCUACCAGAGAGGGCACAUGUGCCUCAAUUGGCCUAUAGCAUAGCGACUCAUUAUCCUUCCACCGCUGGUGGCGGGCGGUACUCGCUGCUCUGUGAAGCCAGCCUCACGCAAUGUCCGCCACUUUAGGUGUUGGGAUGCAAAGGCUUUCGCCAAGGCAUCCGAAACCCACUACACAACUUGGAAUGGGUGGUCCACAGUUUGUAGCACUAGACCCAGGCACAUGCACCACAAUUGACAUCCACACUACCUUAUUGCCCCCGCUCGGGUUACAAGCAAUCGCUACUUGCUCAGCGAGUGAGGGGGUUCAAGACUACCUAUUUAAGGUGGUGUUGUACUCUAUAAGCCGGCGGUGUGGUAUUUACCAACUACAAAUAGUGUCAUGCAUGUGACUUGCUAGUUGACAAUGUCUGUUGUCGAGCUAGAUGUGGGCUACGGAUGAAGCACAUUAUGAUAUAGUAGGCCUAUUUUGUUUUUUGUUGUUUUUGGGCCACUAUGGACUUUAUGUUGAUGUUGUGAAAUUUUUUCUUGUGUUUCCUCUUCCUACGAUGUGGAAAGUGGGUGUGUUAGAGAAGAAAGAAAGAGUGGCUAGCAUUGAUUUUACGUCAUACCAUUGAGAACACUAAUCAGAAGCAGAAGCAACAAUAUUUCAUACAUAUACAACACUUGUAAUCCAUAUAAACAACUUUCCUUUAAAAUAUAAUAUAAACCACAUGAUUUAUAUCCUGGGUCGGCUAUCUCCACAAAGGGCAAGAAAACGCUCCAAGUUUGUAGUAUAGAACUAAAAGUGUCGAUUCUCACGAUUUCUUCCCGACAUAUACAAACUAGACAGUAAUCACAUAAAAUAAAGAAAUAUGUGUUAACACAAACUUAUAGCAUGUAUUUCAACAUAUAGAUUGUUGAUUAUUAUGGUAGAUUAUAUAAAAUAGAGGUUCCCGAAGAAAUACAUAAAAACAAGAGCAUUAAAAUUUCCAUUUCAGAUCUGGCUAUCUGGUAAAAGGAGUUGGAGUAACUGAGUUUCCAAAUUUGUGACGUAGCUCUAUAGAAGGAAUAUAAAUACGUUGGAAAAAUUCUACAAGGAAAGGUUUAAUACAAGUAGGGCUAAGAAAAACUCAAUGAGGCUUUGGUCGCAUGGUCACAAAACUUGAGACAAGAAACACGAAGACACCAAGGUAAUUAGUAUGAGAGUUUUCCAAAUUUGGUGUCUUGAUGUAGAAAAAAUAAAUAUAUGACAAACUUGUUUUUUCGCAAGGCAUGGAUAAAUAAGUGGGGGCGAGCAAUAAAUUUCAUCCUAGAUUUAGAAGGAAUAAAUAUAUCACUAAAUACGUUUUUUCAUAAUGCCAAGUUCAUCAGGUGGGAGCGAGAAACAAUUCUAGCGAGGUUAGGUUGUACUAGCCCAAAACUACAUACAACAGAGGAAAAAUGAAGAAAAUGAUGGUCUACCAAAUAUGGCGCAUGGGCCUUAAGGUGCACCUAGAGGGAAGUAUAAGAAAUAAAUAUAUAAUAGCCUAUGUUUUUCGCAAUGCAAGGUAAAGUGUAGAUGUGCUCUAACUGGGCUUAGAUUGCAGCGACACAUUAUGCAUCUACAAGGCUUGGUUGCACAUGGAAAAAGAUAGAGAGAGAAAUGUAGACACAGGACGGGGAGAAAAACAUUCAAUGAGACAUGAUUGCACGGACAUAGAACUAGAUAUAAGACAAGAGUUAAAGAAAAAUAAAGGAACUAAAUUUUCUUCUGCACACUCAGCAUGAAUGGAGUUGUAGUAUCUGAGAUCAAAAUUUAAUUUAUUCCAAGAUGCAGAACAAAAACGUGAUACUCGUAAUGGUUACAUAGGAACAAAAGUAGAUAAGAAAAAUAGCAAAAAGAUAGUGGUCUACCAGAGAGGGCACAUGUGCCUCAAUUGGCCUAUAGCAUAGCGACUCAUUAUCCUUCCACCGCUGGUGGCAGGCGGUACUCGCUGCUCUGUGAAGCCAGCCUCACGCAAUGUCCGCCACUUUAGGUGUUGGGAUGCAAAGGCUUUCGCCAAGGCAUCCGAAACCCACUACGCAACUUGGAAUGGGUGGUCCACAGUUUGUAGCACUAGACCCAGGCACAUGCACCACAAUUGACAUCCACACUACCUUAUUGCCCCCGCUCGGGUUACAAGCAAUCGCUACUUGCUCAGCGAGUGAGGGGGUUCAAGACUACCUAUUUAAGGUGGUGUUGUACUCUAUAAGCCGGCGGUGUGGUAUUUACCAACUACAAAUAGUGUCAUGCAUGUGACUUGCUAGUUGACAAUGUCUGUUGUCGAGCUAGAUGUGGGCUAUGGAUGAAACACAUUACGAUAUAGUAGGCCUAUUUUGUUUUUUGUUGUUUUUGGGCCACUAUGGACUUUAUGUUGAUGUUGUGAAAUUUUUUCUUGUGUUUCCUCUUCCUAUGAUGUGGAAAGUGGGUGGGUUAGAGAAGAAAGAAAGAGUGGCUAGCAUUGAUUUUACGUCAUACAAUUGAGAACACUAAUCAGAAGCAGAAGCAACAAUAUUUCAUACAUAUACAACACUUGUAAUCCAUAUAAACAACUUUCCUUUAAAAUAUAAUAUAAACCACAUGAUUUAUAUCCUGGGUCGGCUAUCUCCACAAAGGGCAAGAAAACGCUCCAAGUUUGUAGUAUAGAACUAAAAGUGUCGAUUCUCACGAUUUCUUCCCGACAUAUACAAACUAGACAGUAAUCACAUAAAAUAAAGAAAUAUGUGUUAACACGAACUUAUAGCAUGUAUUUCAACAUAUAGAUUGCUGAUUAUUAUGGUUGAUUAUAUAAAAUAGGGGUUCCCGAAGAAAUACAUAAAAACAAGAGCAUUAAAAUUUCCUUUUCAGAUCUGGCUAUCUGGUAAAAGGAGUUGGAGUAACUGAGUUUCCAAAUUUGUGACGUAGCUCUAUAGAAGGAAUAUAAAUACGUUGGAAAAAUUCUACAAGGAAAGGUUUAAUACAAGUAGGGCUAAGAAAAACUCAAUGAGGCUUUGGUCGCAUGGUCACAAAACUUGAGACAAGAAACACGAAGACACCAAGGUAAUUAGUAUGAGAGUUUUCCAAAUUUGGUGUCUUGAUGUAGAAAAAAUAAAUAUAUGACAAACUUGUUUUUUCGCAAGGCAUGGAUAAAUAAGUGGGGGUGAGCAAUAAAUUUCAUCCUAGAUUUAGAAGGAAUAAAUAUAUCACUAAAUACGUUUUUUACAAUGCCAAGUUAAUUAGGUGGGAGCGAGAAACAAUUCUAGCGAGGCUAGGUUGUACUAGCCCAAAACUACAUACAACAGAGGAAGAAUGAAGAAAAUGAUGGUCUACCAAAUAUGGCACAUGAGCCUUAAGGUGCACCUAGAGGGAAGUAGAAGAAUAAAUAUAUAAUAGCAUAUGUUUUUCGCAAUGCAAGGUAAAGUGUAGAUGUGCUCUAACUGGGCUUAGAUUGCAGCGACACAUUAUGCAUCUACAAGGCUUCGUUGCACAUGGAAAAAGAUAGAGAGAGAAAUGUAGACGCAGGACCGGGAGAAAAACAUUCAAUGAGACGUGAUUGCACGGACAUAGAACUAAGUAUAAGACAAGAGUUAAAGAAAAAAGGAACUAAAUUUUCUUGUGCACACUAAGCAUGAAUGGAGUUGUAGUAUCUGAGAUCAAAAUUUAAUUUAUUCCAAGAUGCAGAACAAAAACGUGAUACUCGUAAUGGUUACAUAGGAACAAAAGUAGAUAAGAAAAAUAGCAAAAAGAUAUUGGUCUACCAGAGAGGGCACAUGUGCCUCAAUUGGCCUAUAGCAUAGUGGCUCAUUAUCCUUCCACCGCUGGUGGCGGGCGGUACUCGCUGCUCUGUGAAGCCAGCCUCACGCAAUGUCCGCCACUUUAGGUGUUGGGAUGCAAAGGCUUUCGCCAAGGCAUCCGAAACCCACUACACAACUUGGAAUGGGUGGUCCACAGUUUGUAGCAAUAGACCCAGGCACAUGCACCACAAUUGACAUUCACACUACCUUAUUGCCCCCGCUCGGGUUACAAGCAAUCGCUACUUGCUCAGCGAGUGAGGGGGUUCAAGACUACCUAUUUAAGGUGGUGUUGUACUGUAUGAGCCGGCGGUGUGGUAUUUACCAACUACAAAUAGUGUCAUGCAUGUGACUUGCUAGUUGACAAUGUCUAUUGUCGAGCUAGAUGUGGGCUAUAGAUGAAGCACAUUAGGAUAUAGUAGGCCUAUUUUGUUUUUUGUUGUUUUUGGGCCACUAUGGACUUUAUGUUGAUGUUGUGAAAUUUUUUCUUGUGUUUCCUCUUCCUACGAUGUGGAAAGUGGGUGCUUCAGAGAAGAAAGAAAGAGUGGCUAGCAUUGAUUUUACGUCAUACCAUUGAGAACACUAAUCAGAAGCAGAAGCAACAAUAUUUCAUACAUAUACAACACUUGUAAUCCAUAUAAACAACUUUCCUUUCAAAUAUAAUAUAAACCACAUGAUUUAUAUCCUGGGUCGGCUAUCUCCACAAAGGGCAAGAAAACGCUCCAAGUUUGUAGUAUAGCACUAAAAGUGUCGACUCUCACGAUUUCUUCCCGACAUAUGCAAACUAGACAGUAAUCACAUAAAAUAAAGAAAUAUGUGUUAACACAAACUUAUAGCAUGUAUUUCAACAUAUAGAUUUUUGAUUAUUAUGGUAGAUUAUAUAAUAUAGGGGUUCCCGAAAAAAUACAUAAAAAACAAGAGCAUUAAAAUUUCCUUUUCAGAUCUGGCUAACUGGUAAAGGGAGUUGGAGUAUCUGAGUUUCCAAAUUUGGGACGUCGCUCUAUAGAAGGAAUAUAAAUACAUUGGAAAAAAUUCUACAAGGAAAGGUUUAAUACAAGUAGCGCUAAGAAAAACUCAAUGAGGCUUUGGUCGCUUGGUCACAAAACUUGAGACAAGAAACACGAAGACACCAAGGUAAUUAGUAUGAGAGUUUUCCAAAUUUGGUGUCUUGAUGUAGAAAAAAUAAAUAUAUGACAAACUUGUUUUUUCGCAAGGCAUGGAUAAAUAAGUGGGGGUGAGCAAUAAAUUUCAUCCUAGAUUUAGAAGGAAUAAAUAUAUCACUAAAUACGUUUUUUCACAAUGCCAAGUUAAUCAGGUGGGAGCGAGAAACAAUUCUAGCGAGGCUAGGUUGUACUAGCCCAAAACUACAUACAACAGAGGAAAAAUAAAGAAAAUGAUGGUCUACCAAAUAGGGCGCAUGAGCCUUAAGGUGCACCUAGAGGGAAGUAGAAGAAAUAAAUAUAUAAUAGCAUAUGUUUUUCGCAAUGCAAGGUAAAGUGUAGAUGUGCUCUAACUGGGCUUAGAUUGCAGCGACACAUUAUGCAUCUACAAGGCUUGGUUGCACAUGGAAAAAGAUAGAGAGAGAAAUGUAGACGCAGGACCGGGAGAAAAACAUUCAAUGAGACGUGAUUGCACGGACAUAGAACUAGAUAUAAGACAAGAGUUAAAGAAAAAUAAAGGAACUAAAUUUUCUUCUGCACACUAAGCAUGAAUGGAGUUGUAGUAUCUGAGAUCAAAAUUUAAUUUAUUCCAAGAUGCAGAACAAAAACGUGAUACUCGUAAUGGUUACAUAGGAACAAAAGUAGAUAAGAAAAAUAGCAAAAAGAUAGUGGUCUACCAGAGAGGGCACAUGUGCCUCAAUUGGCCUAUAGCAUAGCGACUCAUUAUCCUUCCACCGCUGGUGGCGGGCGGUACUCGCUGCUCUGUGAAGCCAGCCUCACGCAAUGUCCGCCACUUUAGGUGUUGGGAUGCAAAGGCUUUCGCCAAGGCAUCCGAAACCCACUACACAACUUGGAAUGGGUGGUCCACAGUUUGUAGCACUAGACCCAGGCACAUGCACCACAAUUGACAUCCACACUACCUUAUUGCCCCCGCUCGGGUUACAAGCAAUCGCUACUUGCUCAGCGAGUGAGGGGGUUCAAGACUACCUAUUUAAGGUGGUGUUGUACUCUAUGAGCCGGCGGUGUGGUAUUUACCAACUACAAAUAGUGUCAUGCAUGUGACUUGCUAGUUGACAAUGUCUGUUGUCAAGCUAGGUGUGGGCUAUGGAUGAAGCACAUUAGGAUAUAGUAGGCCUAUUUUGUUUUUUGUUGUUUUUGGGCCACUAUGGACUGUAUGUUGAUGUUGUGAAAUUUUUUUCUUGUGUUUCCUCUUCCUACGAUGUGGAAAGUGGGUGCGUCAGAGAAGAAAGAAAGAGUGGCUAGCAUUGAUUUUACGUCAUACCAUUGAGAACACUAAUCAGAAGCAGAAGCAACAAUAUUUCAUACAUAUACAACACUUGUAAUCCAUAUAAACAACAUUCCUUUAAAAUAUAAUAUAAACCACAUGAUUUAUAUCCUGGGUCGGCUAUCUCCACAAAGGGCAAGAAAACGCUCCAAGUUUGUAGUAUAGCACUAAAAGUGUCGAUUCUCACGAUUUCUUCCCGACAUAUACAAACUAGACAGUAAUCACAUAAAAUAAAGAAAUAUGUGUUAACACGAACUUAUAACAUGUAUUUCAACAUAUAGAUUGUUGAUUAUUAUGGUAGAUUAUAUAAAAUAGGGGUUCCCGAAGAAAUACAUAAAAACAAGAGCAUUAAAAUUUCCUUUUCAGAUCUGGCUAUCUGGUAAAAGGAGUUGGAGUAACUGAGUUUCCAAAUUUGUGACGUAGCUCUAUAGAAGGAAUAUAAAUACGUUGGAAAAAUUCUAUAAGGAAAGGUUUAAUACAAGUAGGGCUAAGAAAAACUCAAUGAGGCUUUGGUCGCAUGGUCACAAAACUUGAGACAAGAAACACGAAGACACCAAGGUAAUUAGUAUGAGAGUUUUCCAAAUUUGGUGUCUUGAUGUAGAAAAAAUAAAUAUAUGACAAACUUGUUUUUUCGCAAGGCAUGGAUAAAUAAGUGGGGGUGAGCAAUAAAUUUCAUCCUAGAUUUAGAAGGAAUAAAUAUAUCACUAAAUAUGUUUUUUCACAAUGCCAAGUUAAUCAGGUGGGAGCGAGAAACAAUUCUAGCGAGGCUAGGUUGUACUAGCCCAAAACUACAUACAACAGAGGAAAAAUGAAGAAAAUGAUGGUCUACCAAAUAUGGCGCAUGAGCCUUAAGGUGCACCUAGAGGGAAGUAGAAGAAAUAAAUAUAUAAUAGCAUAUGUUUUUCGCAAUGCAAGGUAAAGUGUAGAUGUGCUCUAACUGGGCUUAGAUUGCAGCGACACAUUAUGCAUCUACAAGGCUUGGUUGCACAUGGAAAAAGAUAGAGAGAGAAAUGUAGACGCAGGACCGGGAGAAAAACAUUCAACGAGACGUGAUUGCACGGACAUAGAACUAGAUAUAAGACAAGAGUUAAAGAAAAAUAAAGGAACUAAAUUUUCUUCUGCACACUAAGCAUGAAUGGAGUUGUAGUAUCUGAGAUCAAAAUUUAAUUUAUUCCAAGAUGCAGAACAAAAACGUGAUACUCGUAAUGGUUACAUAGGAACAUAAGUAGAUAAGAAAAAUAGCAAAAAGAUAGUGGUCUACCAGAGAGGGCACAUGUGCCUCAAUUGGCCUAUAGCAUAGCGACUCAUUAUCCUUCCACCGCUGGUGGCGGGCGGUACUCGCUGCUCUGUGAAGCCAGCCUCACGCAAUGUCUGCCACUUUAGGUGUUGGGAUGCAAAGGCUUUCGCCAAGGCAUCCGAAACCCACUACACAACUUGGAAUGGGUGGUCCACAGUUGGUAGCACUAGACCCAGGCACAUGCACCACAAUUGACAUCCACACUACCUUAUUGCCCCCGCUCGGGUUACAAGCAAUCGCUACUUGCUCAGCGAGUGAGGGGGUUCAAGACUACCUAUUUAAGGUGGUGUUGUACUCUAUGAGCCGGUGGUGUGGUAUUUACCAACUACAAAUAGUGUCAUGCAUGUGACUUGCUAGUUGACAAUGUCUGUUGUCAAGCUAGGUGUGGGCUAUGGAUGAAGCACAUUAGGAUAUAGUAGGCCUAUUUUGUUUUUUGUUGUUUUUGGGCCACUAUGGACUUUAUGUUGAUGUUGUGAAUUUUUUUUCUUGUGUUUCCUCUUCCUACAAUGUGGAAAGUGGGUGCGUCAGAGAAGAAAGAAAGAGUGGCUAGCAUUGAUUUUACGUCAUACCAUUGAGAACACUAAUCAGAAGCAGAAGCAACAAUAUUUCAUACAUAUACAACACUUGUAAUCCAUAUAAACAACAUUCCUUUAAAAUAUAAUAUAAACCACAUGAUUUAUAUCCUGGGUCGGCUAUCUCCACAAAGGGCAAGAAAACGCUCCAAGUUUGUAGUAUAGCACUAAAAGUGUCGAUUCUCACGAUUUCUUCCCGACAUAUACAAACUAGACAGUAAUCACAUAAAAUAAAGAAAUAUGUGUUAACACGAACUUAUAGCAUGUAUUUCAACAUAUAGAUUGUUGAUUAUUAUGGUAGAUUAUAUAAAAUAGGGGUUCCCGAAGAAAUACAUAAAAACAAGAGCAUUAAAAUUUCCUUUUCAGAUCUGGCUAUCUGGUAAAAGGAGUUGGAGUAACUGAGUUUCCAAAUUUGUGACGUAGCUCUAUAGAAGGAAUAUAAAUACGUUGGAAAAAUUCUAUAAGGAAAGGUUUAAUACAAGUAGGGCUAAGAAAAACUCAAUGAGGCUUUGGUCGCAUGGUCACAAAACUUGAGACAAGAAACACGAAGACACCAAGGUAAUUAGUAUGAGAGUUUUCCAAAUUUGGUGUCUUGAUGUAGAAAAAAUAAAUAUAUGACAAACUUGUUUUUCGCAAGGCAUGGAUAAAUAAGUGGGGGUGAGCAAUAAAUUUCAUCCUAGAUUUAGAAGGAAUAAAUAUAUCACUUAAUAUGUUUUUUCACAAUGCCAAGUUAAUCAGGUGGGAGCGAGAAACAAUUCUAGCGAGGCUAGGUUGUACUAGCCCAAAACUACAUACAACAGAGGAAAAAUGAAGAAAAUGAUGGUCUACCAAAUAUGGUGCAUGAGCCUUAAGGUGCACCUAGAGGGAAGUAGAAGAAAUAAAUAUAUAAUAGCAUAUGUUUUUCGCAAUGCAAGGUAAAGUGUAGAUGUGCUCUAACUGGGCUUAGAUUGCAGCGACACAUUAUGCAUCUACAAGGCUUGGUUGCACAUGGAAAAAGAUAGAGAGAGAAAUGUAGACGCAAGACCGGGAGAAAAACAUUCAAUGAGACGUGAUUGCACGGACAUAGAACUAGAUAAAAGACAAGAGUUAAAGAAAAAUAAAGGAACUAAAUUUUCUUCUGCACACUAAGCAUGAAUGGAGUUGUAGUAUCUGAGAUCAAAAUUUAAUUUAUUCCAAGAUGCAGAACAAAAACGUGAUACUCGUAAUGGUUACAUAGGAACAUAAGUAGAUAAGAAAAAUAGCAAAAAGAUAGUGGUCUACCAGAGAGGGCACAUGUGCCUCAAUUGGCCUAUAGCAUAGCGACUCAUUAUCCUUCCACCGCUGGUGGCGGGCGGUACUCGCUGCUCUGUGAAGCCAGCCUCACGCAAUGUCCGCCACUUUAGGUGUUGGGAUGCAAAGGCUUUUGCCAAGGCAUCCGAAACCCACUACACAACUUGGAAUGGGUGGUCCACAGUUUGUAGCACUAGACCCAGGCACAUGCACCACAAUUGACAUCCACACUACCUUAUUGCCCCCGCUCGGGUUACAAGCAAUCGCUACUUGCUCAACGAGUGAGGGGGUUCAAGACUACCUAUUUAAGGUGGUGUUGUACUCUAUGAGCCGGCGGUGUGGUAUUUACCAACUACAAAUAGUGUCAUGCAUGUGACUUGCUAGUUGACAAUGUCUGUUGUCAAGCUAGGUGUGGGCUAUGGAUGAAGCACAUUAGGAUAUAGUAGGCCUAUUUUGUUUUUUGUUGUUUUUGGGCCACUAUGGACUUUAUGUUGAUGUUGUGAAUUUUUUUUCUUGUGUUUCCUCUUCCUACGAUGUGGAAAGUGGGUGCGUCAGAGAAGAAAGAAAGAGUGGCUAGCAUUGAUUUUACGUCAUACCAUUGAGAACACUAAUCAGAAGCAGAAGCAACAAUAUUUCAUACAUAUACAACACUUGUAAUCCAUAUAAACAACAUUCCUUUAAAAUAUAAUAUAAACCACAUGAUUUAUAUCCUGGGUCAGCUAUCUCCACAAAGGGCAAGAAAACGCUCCAAGUUUGUAGUAUAGCACUAAAAGUGUCGAUUCUCACGAUUUCUUCCCGACAUAUACAAACUAGACAGUAAUCACAUAAAAUAAAGAAAUAUGUGUUAACACGAACUUAUAGCAUGUAUUUCAACAUAUAGAUUGUUGAUUAUUAUGGUAGAUUAUAUAAAAUAGGGGUUCCCGAAGAAAUACAUAAAAACAAGAGCAUUAAAAUUUCCUUUUCAGAUCUGGCUAACUGGUAAAGGGAGUUGGAGUAUCUGAGUUUCCAAAUUUGGGACGUCGCUCUAUAGAAGGAAUAUAAAUACAUUGGAAAAAAUUCUACAAGGAAAGGUUUAAUACAAGUAGCGCUAAGAAAAACUCAAUGAGGCUUUGGUCGCUUGGUCACAAAACUUGAGACAAGAAACACGAAGACACCAAGGUAAUUAGUAUGAGAGUUUUCCAAAUUUGGUGUCUUGAUGUAGAAAAAAUAAAUAUAUGACAAACUUGUUUUUUCGUAAGGCAUGGAUAAAUAAGUGGGGGUGAGCAAUAAAUUUCAUCCUAGAUUUAGAAGGAAUAAAUAUAUCACUAAAUAGGUUUUUUCACAAUGCCAAGUUAAUCAGGUGGGAGCGAGAAACAAUUCUAGCGAGGCUAGGUUGUACUAGCCCAAAACUACAUACAACAGAGGAAAAAUGAAGAAAAUGAUGGUCUACCAAAUAUGGCGCAUGAGCCUUAAGGUGCACCUAGAGGGAAGUAGAAGAAAUAAAUAUAUAAUGGCAUAUGUUUAUCGCAAUGCAAGGUAAAGUGUAGAUGUGCUCUAACUGGGCUUAGAUUGCAGCGACACAUUAUGCAUCUACAAGGCUUGGUUGCACAUGGAAAAAGAUAGAGAGAGAAAUGUAGAUGCAGGACCGGGUGAAAAACAUUCAAUGAGACGUGAUUGCACGGACAUAGAACUAGAUAUAAGACAAGAGUUAAAGAAAAAUAAAGGAACUAAAUUUUCUUCUGCACACUAAGCAUGAAUGGAGUUGUAGUAUCUGAGAUCAAAAUUUAAUUUAUUCCAAGAUGCAGAACAAAAAUGUGAUACUCGUAAUGGUUACAUAGGAGCAAAAGUAGAUAAGAAAAAUAGCAAAAAGAUAGUGGUCUACCAGAGAGGGCACAUGUGCCUCAAUUGUCUUAUAGCAUAGCGACUCAUUAUCCUUCCACCGCUGGUGGCGGGCGGUACUCGCUGCUCUGUGAAGCCAGCCUCACGCAAUGUCCGCCACUUUAGGUGUUGGGAUGCAAAGACUUUCGCCAAGGCAUCCGAAACCCACUACACAACUUGGAAUGGGUGGUCCACUGUUUGUAGCACUAGACCCAGGCACAUGCACCACAAUUGACAUCCACACUACCUUAUUGCCCCGCUCGGGUUACAAGCAAUCGCUACUUGCUCAGCGAGUGAGGGGGUUCAAGACUACCUAUUUAAGGUGGUGUUGUACUCUAUGAGCCGGCGGUGUGGUAUUUACCAACUACAAAUAGUGUCAUGCAUGUGACUUGCUAGUUGACAAUGUCUGUUGUCAAGCUAGGUGUGGGCUAUGGAUGAAGCACAUUAGGAUAUAGUAGGCCUAUUUUGUUUUUUGUUGUUUUUGGGCCACUAUGGACUUUAUGUUGAUGUUGUGAAAUUUUUUUCUUGUGUUUCCUCUUCCUACGAUGUGGAAAGUGGGUGCGUCAGAGAAGAAAGAAAGAGUGGCUAGCAUUGAUUUUACGUCAUACCAUUGAGAACACUAAUCAGAAGCAGAAGCAACAAUAUUUCAUACAUAUACAACACUUGUAAUCCAUAUAAACAACAUUCCUUUAAAAUAUAAUAUAAACCACAUGAUUUAUAUCCUGGGUCGGCUAUCUCCACAAAGGGCAAGAAAACGCUCCAAGUUUGUAGUAUAGCACUAAAAGUGUCGAUUCUCACGAUUUCUUCCCGACAUAUACAAACUAGACAGUAAUCACAUAAAAUAAAGAAAUAUGUGUUAACACGAACUUAUAGCAUGUAUUUCAACAUAUAGAUUUUUGAUUAUUAUGGUAGAUUAUAUAAAAUAGGGGUUCCCGAAGAAAUACAUAAAAACAAGAGCAUUAAAAUUUCCUUUUCAGAUCUGGCUAUCUGGUAAAAGGAGUUGGAGUAACUGAGUUUCCAAAUUUGUGACGUAGCUCUAUAGAAGGAAUAUAAAUACGUUGGAAAAAUUCUAUAAGGAAAGGUUUAAUACAAGUAGGGCUAAGAAAAACUCAAUGAGGCUUUGGUCGCAUGGUCACAAAACUUGAGACAAGAAACACGAAGACACCAAGGUAAUUAGUAUGAGAGUUUUCCAAAUUUGGUGUCUUGAUGUAGAAAAAAUAAAUAUAUGACAAAUUUGUUUUUUCGCAAGGCAUGGAUAAAUAAGUGGGGGUGAGCAAUAAAUUUCAUCCUAGAUUUAGAAGGAAUAAAUAUAUCACUAAAUACAUUUUUUCACAAUGCCAAAUUAAUCAGGUGGGAGCGAGAAACAAUUGUAGCGAGGCUAGGUUGUACUAGCCCAAAACUACAUACAACAGAGGAAAAAUGAAGAAAAUGAUGGUCUACCAAAUAUGGCGCAUGAGCCUUAAGGUGCACCUAGAGGGAAGUAGAAGAAAUAAAUAUAUAAUAGCAUAUGUUUUUCGCAAUGCAUGGUAAAGUGUAGAUGUGCUCUAACUGGGCUUAGAUUGCAGCGACACAUUAUGCAUCUACAAGGCUUGGUUGCACAUGGAAAAAGAUACAAAAAGAAAUGUAGACGCAGGACCGGGAGAAAAACAUUCAAUGAGACGUGAUUGCACGGACAUAGAACUAGAUAUAAGACAAGAGUUAAAGAAAAAUAAAGGAACUAAAUUUUCUUCUGCACACUAAGCAUGAAUGGAGUUGUAGUAUCUGAGAUCAAAAUUUAAUUUAUUCCAAGAUGCAGAACAAAAAUUUGAUACUCGUAAUGGUUACAUAGGAGCAAAAGUAGAUAAGAAAAAUAGCAAAAAGAUAGUGGUCUACCAGAGAGGGCACAUGUGCCUCAAUUGGCCUAUAGCAUAGCGACUCAUUAUCCUUCCACCGCUGGUGGCGGGCGGUACUCGCUGCUCUGUGAAGCCAGCCUCACACAAUGUCCGCCACUUUAGGUGUUGGGAUGCAAAGGCUUUCGCCAAGGCAUCCGAAACCCACUACACAACUUGGAAUGGGUGGUCCACUGUUUGUAGCACUAGACCCAGGCACAUGCACCACAAUUGACAUCCACACUACCUUAUUGCCCCGCUCGGGUUACAAGCAAUCGCUACUUGCUCAGCGAGUGAGGGGGUUCAAGACUACCUAUUUAAGGUGGUGUUGUACUCUAUGAGCCGGCGGUGUGGUAUUUACCAACUACAAAUAGUGUCAUGCAUGUGACUUGCUAGUUGACAAUGUCUGUUGUCAAGCUAGGUGUGGGCUAUGGAUGAAGCACAUUAGGAUAUAGUAGGCCUAUUUUGUUUUUUGUUGUUUUUGGGCCACUAUGGACUUUAUGUUGAUGUUGUGAAAUUUUUUUCUUGUGUUUCCUCUUCCUACGAUGUGGAAAGUGGGUGCGUCAGAGAAGAAAGAAAGAGUGGCUAGCAUUGAUUUUACGUCAUACCAUUGAGAACACUAAUCAGAAGCAGAAGCAACAAUAUUUCAUACAUAUACAACACUUGUAAUCCAUAUAAACAACAUUCCUUUAAAAUAUAAUAUAAACCACAUGAUUUAUAUCCUGGGUCGGCUAUCUCCACAAAGGGCAAGAAAACGCUCCAAGUUUGUAGUAUAGCACUAAAAGUGUCGAUUCUCACGAUUUCUUCCCGACAUAUACAAACUAGACAGUAAUCACAUAAAAUAAAGAAAUAUGUGUUAACACAAACUUAUAGCAUGUAUUUCAACAUAUAGAUUGUUGAUUAUUAUGGUAGAUUAUAUAAAAUAGGGGUUCCCGAAGAAAUACAUAAAAACAAGAGCAUUAAAAUUUCCUUUUCAGAUCUGGCUAUCUGGUAAAAGGAGUUGGAGUAACUGAGUUUCCAAAUUUGUGACGUAGCUCUAUAGAAGGAAUAUAAAUACGUUGGAAAAAUUCUAUAAGGAAAGGUUUAAUACAAGUAGGGCUAAGAAAAACUCAAUGAGGCUUUGGUCGCAUGGUCACAAAACUUGAGACAAGAAACACGAAGACACCAAGGUAAUUAGUAUGAGAGUUUUCCAAAUUUGGUGUCUUGAUGUAGAAAAAAUAAAUAUAUGACAAAUUUGUUUUUUCGCAAGGCAUGGAUAAAUAGGUGGGGGUGAGCAAUAAAUUUCAUCCUAGAUUUAGAAGGAAUAAAUAUAUCACUAAAUAUGUUUUUUCACAAUGCCAAGUUAAUCAGGUGGGAGCGAGAAACAAUUCUAGCGAGGCUAGGUUGUACUAGCCCAAAACUACAUACAACAGAGGAAAAAUGAAGAAAAUGAUGGUCUACCAAAUAUGGCGCAUGAGCCUUAAGGUGCACCUAGAGGGAAGUAGAAGAAAUAAAUAUAUAAUAGCAUAUAUUUUUCGCAAUGCAUGGUAAAGUGUAGAUGUGCUCUAACUGGGCUUAGAUUGCAGCGACACAUUAUGCAUCUACAAGGCUUGGUUGCACAUGGAAAAAGAUACAGAAAGAAAUGUAGACGCAGGACCGGGAGAAAAACAUUCAAUGAGACGUGAUUGCACAGACAUAGAACUAGAUAUAAGACAAGAGUUAAAGAAAAAUAAAGGAACUAAAUUUUCUUCUGCACACUAAGCAUGAAUGGAGUUGUAGUAUCUGAGAUCAAAAUUUAAUUUAUUCCAAGAUGCAGAACAAAAAUGUGAUACUCGUAAUGGUUACAUAGGAACAAAAGUAGUUAAGAAAAAUAGCAAAAAGAUAGUGGUCUACCAGAGAGGGCACAUGUGCCUCAAUUGGCCUAUAGCAUAGCGACUCAUUAUCCUUCCACCGCUGGUGGCGGGCGGUACUCGCUGCUCUGUGAAGCCAGCCUCACGCAAUGUCCGCCACUUUAGGUGUUGGGAUGCAAAGGCUUUCGCCAAGGCAUCCGAAACCCACUACACAACUUGGAAUGGGUGGUCCACAGUUUGUAGCACUAGACCCAGGCACAUGCACCACAAUUGACAUCCACACUACCUU
rnacentral:lncRNA from 1 species